rnacentral:rRNA from 1 species
UACGUAGGUGGCAAGCGUUGUCCGGAUUUACUGGGCGUAAAGAGCGCGCAGGCGGUCGGAUAAGUCGAAUGUGAAAGCCCCCGGCUCAACUGGGGAGGGUCAUUCGAUACUGUUCGACUCGAAGGCAGGAGAGGGAAGUGGAAUUCCCGGUGUAGUGGUGAAAUGCGUAGAUAUCGGGAGGAACACCAGUGGCGAAGGCGGCUUCCUGGCCUGUUCUUGACGCUGAGGCGCGAAAGCUAGGGGAGCAAACAGG